rnacentral:misc_RNA from 2 species
AGAAAAUUGUAAAUAUGUAUAUAUAGGGGGGUAGUGAUGGUUGGAAGGUGAUGGAUCUAGAUCGGUGUAUGGCUAGUGUGGGACGAUAUAGUGGGUCGAUGUAAGCCAUAUAUCUAUUGCCAGAUCCACACCUUCGGACCAAAAUUGUUGUAUGGCUUGUGUGGGGCGAGGGGCACAACGUGAAUCCGUAAUAGGCCAUGGCGGGUGUCUUUUUAAGCAUCCAAACCAUACAACAAUUAGGGGGGAUUAUGCUAGCGGGUUUCGUUCUCUUCGUAUCGUGC